rnacentral:rRNA from 1 species
UACAGAGGUCUCAAGCGUUGUUCGGAUUCAUUGGGCGUAAAGGGUGCGUAGGUGGCGCCGUAAGUCGGGUGUGAAAUUUCGGAGCUUAACUCCGAAACUGCAUUCGAUACUGCGGUGCUUGAGGACUGGAGAGGAGACUGGAAUUCCAGGUGUAGCGGUGAAAUGCGUAGAUAUCUGGAGGAAUACCGGUGGCGAAGGCGGCAUCCUGGACCGACAUUGACGCUGAUGAGCGAAAGCUAGGGGAGCAAACGGG